rnacentral:rRNA from 1 species
UACAGAGGGGGCAAGCGUUAUUCGGAAUUAUUGGGCGUAAAGCGCGUGUAGGCGGCUUUGCAAGUCGGGUGUGAAAGCCCUCGGCUCAACCGAGGAAGUGCGCCCGAAACUGCAGAGCUUGAGUACCGGAGAGGAUGGCGGAAUUCCCCAAGUAGAGGUGAAAUUCGUAGAUAUGGGGAGGAACACCGGUGGCGAAGGCGGCCAUCUGGACGGAUACUGACGCUGAGACGCGAAAGCGUGGGGAGCAAACAGG